rnacentral:lncRNA from 14 species
GGCAAAGGCUGGAAGAAGUCGUAUCUCUGAGCAUGGUGCAAUACACAUCCAAAGCAAUGUUCCUACCCACUGAAGUGGAAACAGCCAGAUGCUUGAAUGUCUGCUUGACUGAGAUGGAAACACACAUGGACAAAUGUUACCUAUCAGUGUAAUGAAGCUAUUUGAAAAGAAAUUAAAACCUUUUCAAGCCUGGAAGAUGAUUUGAAUUGAGAGGAUGAACCGAGAUGCAUAUGAGCUCCGUAUUUUAAACCACAGCGAAGUGUAUGCAAGGUCUUAGGAGCAAAGAACCUGAAAGACCUAGAGCCAACACCAAGUCACUCUGGUUUGGAGAGUCAUGGAGGGCAGCACACCUGCAGCCACUUGCUGUGCUGAAGUGGGAGACAGUCUGUCCUGUUUGCUGUUCCAGCAGCCAGCCUACCUUUCCAAACAUCUCACUCUUUUACAUCCAAUCUUCUUUGUGGCUCCUAC